UACGUAGGGUCCGAGCGUUGUCCGGAAUUACUGGGCGUAAAGAGCUCUAGGUGGUUUGUCGCGUUGUUCGUGAAAACUCACAGCUCAACUGUGGGCGUGCGGGCGAUACGGGCAGACUAGAGUACUGCAGGGGAGACUGGAAUUCCUGGUGUAGCGGUGGAAUGCGCAGAUAUCAGGAGGAACACCGGUGGCGAAGGCGGGUCUCUGGGCAGUAACUGACGCUGAGGAGCGAAAGCGUGGGGAGCGAACAGG
rnacentral:rRNA from 1 species